UGGUGGAGUGAUUUGUCUGGUUAAUUCCGAUAACGAACGAGACCACAACUUACUAAAUAGGGUACAGAAACUUCUACCGGGUGAAGGUUGAGAGUGGGGUGGUAGCUUUGCUAUUGCUCUCUCUUGAUUGGAUCCUUGAUGAUUUCUGCUAUUCUUCUUAGAAGGACUAUUGGGUAUUACUCAAUGGAAGUGUGGCAAUAACA
rnacentral:rRNA from 1 species